AUGGCCGCGGGCCGCGCCGCCGCUCCUCUCCGCCCGCCCGCUCGCCCGUCCGCCGCUCGCUGGGGUUGGGGACAGAGGCGGCCGGGCCGCGGGCCGCCGGGCUGCGGGGCGGGCACGGAGCGGGGCGGGGCCCGGCUGGUCGCUCCGCCUCCGCCGCCGGCUCGGCCGCCGGGCGCCGCUCAGGGCCUGACGCUGCGGAGCGCGCGCGCUGCGGUGGCCGCCGCCGCUCCUGGUCGCCGGCUGUUGGGCCCGGCCGCGCCCCCCGACUGCUGCUGCAUCCCCCCGGGCCGCGCCGCUGCCGCCGCGCCUCCGCCCAUGGGCGCCGGCCCGGCUCGGCCCGCGCGGCUCCGGCUCGGCUCUCGGAACUUCGCUCUCGUCCGGCGGAGCGGGAGGGCGUGCGAGGCCGCGAGCGGGGCCAGUGAGACCUGCGAUCUCAGCUCAGCCUUCCUGGCACCGUACCGCGCUCAGCCUCUGUGUGCCAGCUCCGUGGCUGUGACCCUGCUACGAGCCAGCGCAGCUUCUUCCUGCACUGCGGCCCUCCAACGGCCAGGGGAAGCAAGGACAUGAGCAGCAAUUCCUCUGAGCCAGAUCUCAGCCAUAUGGCUGUGAGUUCUGGUUGCAAAUCAGCUCUUUUCUUUAUUCUGGCGCUGUGCUAUGAUGCUGUCCUGUGACGCUGGAUUGUACUUGACCCAGAGUAUUUAUCAUCAUUCCCGGUGGAGUAGCUUCCCUGAGGAGCACAGACAGUGGACAAUAAGAUCACCGUGAACGUCACCAGAAGGCUGUAACCGGAAAGGUAAUUGAGAAAUACAUACAAAGAGAAGCUGCGGAACGUUCUCCCAGGAUGGACUAGGGAGACGUCCAAACCCACGUGGGCCUCACCUACACACUGCUGCUUUUACUCUCAAAACAGGACUCCUCCCUACAGACUGCAUUUCAUCACAUUUCCAUGGUGGACCCUGGGUAAUAAAACUUGUGUAUUUACGGGUAGGAGCAAGAAGUUUUGGAGUAUGAGCCCACAGCAGAGUGACUGUAGAGAAUGGAAUGUUCUUAAGGGCUCCUAAAAGCAGGACAGCCCAGAGCUGGAACUCAGUGCUUGAGCCCUUGCCUAGCAUGUUCAGGGUCCAGGUUCAAAUCCCUGUACUGCUGGGGGAAAAACGCUAGAAGAAAGGAUUCUUCAAGCUUUACCAUAAAGAAAUGAUAAUGUUUAAGGAGAUAUGUUGUAAAUGUUACACAGUAUAUAUGUAUAUCCAAGCAUAUUCUCCAGUACUAUGUACCAUAUAAUUUUUAUGCUUUUGUGUACUCCUUACAAUUAAUUCUAAAAAAUGCAUGUACAAAGAAGGUGAGAAAAAAUUCAAAGUUAUCCAAAAAUUUGCCAUAUCUAAUACCUGGAGGAUGUGAAUAAUUAAAGGCUUUUCUAAAUUAUACAUCUGUCUUUACUUCUGAAGCUUCUAGGUGCCAUCUGUCACUGAAGAGAGGCUUCCUGUGUGUGGCGGACUGCAAGGUCUUGGCACGGGGGCAGUCAAGAUUGUACCAGACAAGAGGGUGGUAAUAUUAACAUAAGCCUUGGGAAUGUAAAAAUAUUUAUAUCCAGCCAUUUGUCAAUGUCUAUAUUACCUGAGAACUAAUUAUUUUGUGACUAUUAAUGCUUAUUAUCCAAAAAUGUUUUUUUUAUUCCAGUUUGCUGAAAUCUAAACGCACUUGUCUUUUUUUUUUUUUUUUUUUUUUUUUUUUUUUUCAGACAGGCUCUCGCUUUGUAGUGUAGGCUGACCUUGAACUUGCUAGUUCAGACUGACCUGAAAAAUAAGGCAAUCCUCCUGCCUCUGCCUCCCAAGUGCUAGGAUAACCGGGUUGUGCCACCGCACACCGUUGCAUUCAUCCUGAGAUUGUGGUUUUAAACAAACCGAUGGCACAAAAUAGUGUAGAUAUUUAUCUGACAAUUUCUCUCUCUUGCAUUUUGGAACUACGUUCUAUUUCUGGUAGGGAAUGGUACUUCCAGUCGGGGAUAGAAUGUAACAAGAACCAUCUGUCCUGUUCCCCAGCCCAGUGCUUCUGUCGUUAGGCGCACGGAAAAACAUCGCGCCAGCUCCUCCCAGAGCCUGUGAGCAGUAACAUGCCGCCACCUUCUUGGGACUCACACGUGUGAAAUGCCAGUGCGUGGCACCAGGCUCGCGGUCUCCCGUCCAAGCGCCACCGGCUUGCGGCAGAGGCCGAGAGGCCUUGGAAGCCGUGCUGGCUUCGCCUGGGUCCGUCCAAACGGGGCGGGCUGCAACUCGGAGCAGACGCCCAGGUGGCUUUGGGGUGAACGCCAGCAGGAGAGAAGCAGUUUGCGCUGUGUUCACCUCGGUGGAAAAAGCAUGAAACACAAGCCCGGAGACCUCGGCUGCUGCAUGGUUUCAAAAGCAUGUUAGGAAAAGCGGGAGGGCAGAGGUGGAGCCCGGGGUCUGUGAAACAGGAAAGGCGCUCAGGAGACGCCGCGGUGCAGGGGGGGCGCAGAGCAGCGGGACUGGCACCGGAGCGCGGGUGGAGGCUCGUGGGGCCGGCCGACCCGCACCGGCACCGGCACCUUCCCAGUGGCCGGGGCUGCGCAGAAGAGAGAAGCAGGCCGGAAAAGAGACUGCUGCCUUUAUUUUUAAAUCACGAAGGUCGUUUCAUCUGGUUAGGAAACGACACGGCCCAGGGCGACACAGGAGCGCGUGCUGACUCUGGCGUGCAUCCUGGCCCCAGGGACCCAUCCUGUUCUAGUCUCCUCAGUCCACCAAGGUUUGUGAAUCCUCCUAGGCUCAUCCUUCAACGUUUUACGUUUAGGUAUAGACCACACCCAGAUCACACACACCACACCCACACCCACGUACCCCACUCCCACAUGCGCACACACAUCCACCCACCCCCACGCAUCCAUACACCCACACACAAGACAGUUUCUCCCACAACCCAGUUAGUUAGGAGGCCUCACGCUGUGCAACUGCCAAAUACCAUCUCUUAAUCUUGCAAAAGUGCAAAAUAACUUUCUAUCAUCCUGAGACCCAAGACACCAAGGAAAGAUGGGGCAAGGAAGAUUAGCAGAACAGUCUGGAGCAGAGUGGGAAGCGCAUGAGGGCGACGCCAGCAGCACGGUGGCUGGUGAGGCAAAUUCAAACUCCAGGAAGGUCCCUCCGCCCUGCCUGGCCGUCCGGAGGGCACAUGACAUCUGGGAUACCAUAAAAGACAUAAGCCAGCAGAAGCUGGCAAACCUCCGAAGCCUUCCUCACAGGGCCUGGGAAGCUACCAGGUGCAGAGUGGUGCUCAGCACCCAGCUCUCCCUGAGACUGAGGGAGCAGGAUGGACCGUCUAAGCCCAGCUCAGGCAAUUUAGCAGUUUAGUGUGAUCCUGUCUCUAAGGAAAGACUUCAAAAAGUUGUGGGAUGUAUCUCAGUGAAAAGCCCUGUUUUCAUCGCCCAGUACCACCAGUACCAAAAGAAAAGCUGGGAAGCUGAGUGUCUCUGAAUAAUGGUGGACAUAGGCUGGCUGGACACGAAGAACUUGCUCCUGGUACCGGGGGUGGAGCCCAGUGGUGAAGCUUAGCAAGCACAAGGUCCUGGGUUCUACCUCAGCACCACAAAGAAAAACACGCAUAGCAACAAAACACCGGAGGACACUGGGAAAGAUACCUAAUCCAGCCACCGGCAGCAGCAUGGGACGUGAGGAAACUGGGAAAUGCCAUUUCCAAGUCCUAUGACCCUGGGCUGAAUUUCCAAUGAGAUAAAGGCAGAAAACAAACACGAAUCUGCAAGUCAUGAGGAACUGAAGAUUUGAGGAUAAAUGAGGAAAAGAGCCAAGAGCCAAGGAUAAAUCUUGAAAUGUUCACAAUUUGGUAGAAAAGAAGUUACUGUAAUUAGGAAGAAAUGGCUAAUUAGGGAGGUAGAAGAGAAGAAAAGCUAAGGAUAAAACAUUCACUAGUAAGAAGUGGUAAUGUGAAACAAUGUUUUCAUCUUCAAAAGAUUGCUUUACAUGACAGAAUUCUGACACAGAUCCUUACUACUUAAAAUUACUGUUCCAUUGUCCGUGGGCCUCUAUUGUUAUAGUGCAAAAGUCUAGUGUCAUUCCUGUGGGUAAUGAUGCUUUUCUCAUCAACUACUUUUAUUUUUUAUUUUUAUUUUAUUUUAUUUAUUUAUUUUUGUCUUUUUCCUUUUUAUUGGUACCGGGGAUCGAACUCACGACUGCCUGCUUGCAAGGCAGGUUCUUAUGCUGCUGAGCUAAACCUCCAGCCCCCUACUUUUAUUUUUUUAUUUAAAAAAAGGAGAUUAAGAUAAAAGAGGACAUAACAACACAGGUCAGAACAGAACAAUUUAAGCAAUAUAUUGUUUCACCACAAGAUAACCUGACAUAACAGGAGUUACCAUAGUGUCUCUUUCCUUGAAAUAUUUGAGUAUAACUUCAUAUACUAUAGCAUCAAACAUAACAAGACAGUGUAAAACCAUUCAAGAGAAUGAAAGUAUUACAGGAUAUUCAGAACCAACUAACAGAAAACGGACAAUGGUUUCUAUAUUAUCUCCUUGUCUAUAAAAACUUUUGUUUAUACUAUCACAUAUAAUAAAAUCCAAUAAGAUACAACUCUCAUCAGUUACUUUUAAACUAUUCUAUUUGCCUUUGUUCUGAAAUGUCAAUAAAAUUAUUUUUAUUUACCUG